AUUGAACGCUGGCGGCAGGCCUAACACAUGCAAGUCGAACGAGUGGCGGACGGGUGAGUAAUGUCUGGGAAACUGCCUGAUGGAGGGGGAUAACUACUGGAAACGGUAGCUAAUACCGCAUACCAUCAGAUGUGCCCAGAUGGGAUUAGCUUGUUGGUGGGGUAACGGCUCACCAAGGCGACGAUCCCUAGCUGGUCUGAGAGGAUGACCAGCCACACGGGAACGGAUAAACGGUCCAAACGCCUACGGGAGGCAGCAGUGGGGAAUAUUGCACAAUGGGCGCAAGCCUGAUUCAGCCAUGCCGCGUGUAUGAAGAGGGCUUCAGGGUUGUAAAGUACGUUCAGCGGGGAGGCGUUACCCGCAGAAAAAGCACCGGCUAACGCCGUGCCAGCAGCCGCGGUAAUAC
rnacentral:rRNA from 1 species